GGCGGUUUGGCCGAGUGGUCUAAGGCGAUUGACUCGAACGAACGACAUGAAAUUUCUGUUCUCGAGGGAACGGAAUUAAAAGUGUGUUCCAGUAAUCAAUUCCGUUCGCGGGCGCAUGUUCGAAUCAUGCAGCCGUCG
rnacentral:tRNA from 1 species